rnacentral:piRNA from 1 species
UCUUUGGACGUUAUAGGCCGA